AGACAGGGGAAGACAAAAAGGACAAACAGCUCCUGGGAAGUGGAGGCUGGGAACUGUGGGAACUCCUGGAUCUCUCUUGGCUGGAGAUGGUUUCAGGUUUGAAAGGUGGAGCCCUUCCCUGUGGUCACUGUGAAGGAAAAAGGCUCUUUUGGCAAAUGGCUCAUUCAAAGGUACAAGAGAUAAAGGAAGUCUGCUUCCUGCUGUUCUUUCCUGACAUGGAAAACAUUUGUUGGGAUGCCCCAGCAAGAAUUCCAGGCUCUGCAGUGGAACAAGAGGGUUCUUUGUGUUUCUUUUCCUCCUGAAGCUUUGCCUCUUUUCAAGAGAGACAUCUGCUCUGGUCAAUGGUACUUACAGGCCUUUCAAACCCAAUUAGGCACUUGAGAGCCAGGAGCUGUGAGUGCUCAGCUUCCCCAGCCAGCAAAGGAUUUUCCCCUCUGCAGCACAGCUUCCCUCAGCAAAGGAUUUUCCCCUCUGCAGCUCCUGUAAUACCAUGCUUUCCCAAGAUUUUUUAAUAACUGGUCAUUUGUAACUGUCUGGAGUGUUUGGAAAUAAUGGCCAUUCCUGCUCUGUUUGCUCUCUGAACAAUUUCAUUCAGCAGUUUUUUAAGAGGGAGAAAAAUAAAACUAAAAAAAAAAAAAUCA
rnacentral:lncRNA from 1 species